rnacentral:precursor_RNA from 12 species
AAACAAAGAAGAAUUUGUUAGCGAAGUUGGUUUGUGACCGUCACUAACGGGCAGUUGUGUGUUUGCUCGUUUUGACGAUCGCAAAAUGAACUCGCUUGACGUUAAUACAUCAUUUUUG